CGCGCCUGCGGCCCCGCGCCUGCGCCGGCGGGAGGAGGCCGAGAGCGCGUGGAGACGGCGGUGCCCGCCCCGGGAGGCCCGCGGUUACAGCUGCUGUAACAGAUCUGAAGGCGUCUGCCUUAAACCUGGAAACCAGGGAAACAUCUUCUCUAAAGUUUCAAGACUAAAGAGUUGGGAAGCGGACGUGGCUCAACUGAUAGAGCAUCGGCCUACCAUAUGGGAGGUCCAGGGUUCAAACCCCGGGCCUCCUGACCCAUGUGGAGCUGGCCCACGUGCAGUGCUGACGUGCGCAAGGAGUGCCCUGCCACGCAGGGGUGUCCCCCGCGUAGGGGAGCCCCACGCAAAAGGGGUGUGCCCUGCAAGAAGAGCCGCCCCACGUGAAAAAAGUGCAGCCCACCCAGGACUGGCUCAGCACACAGGGAGAGCUGACGCAGCAAGAUGAUGCAGCGACAACAAAAAGAGAUGCAGUAUCCCGGUGCCACCUAUGGUGCAAAUGGACACAGAAGAACACACAACGAGUGGACACAGAGAGUGGACAAUGGGGGUGGGGGAAAAAUAAAUAAAUCUUUAAAAAAAUAAAAAAGACUAAAGACUUUCCUUUAAACAGAAAAAAGCCAGCGGCCUGAGACGGAGAAAAGCAGAGCAGAGGAGGAACUGCUCCCAAUGGCGGGCCUGGCCGGGGGCCCAGAGUGGCCGUGCCCUCGCCCACCUGCCCUGAGCCUCAGCCUCCCAGCUGCCUGCUCUGUGGAUGGCCAGUUCUGAAUUUCCUUUCUGGAAAGUGACGCAUCUGGACAACGCAGCAAACACUCUUUGAUCCAGAUGUCUUUCUCAAAAACUGGGCGGAAGGCACGCCAAGCGUUUAGAAGGGCUGUGCAGACGCUGUGGGCGAGCGGUGGCGGAGCGGCUGGCUGGCGGGGAGGGA
rnacentral:lncRNA from 1 species